GAAGCGUUGCAUCCUCGGGAGAGGCUGCAGAGGAGGUGCAGGGGGUGCCAUCCAGCCUUGGCAAGGCUGAUAAGCUGCAACACCGUGUCAGGCGAUGUUGCUGACUGUGGGGCUUUUGUGUUUGCUCUUGUGGAGGUUUGGAGCAUAAAUAAGGAUUAUGUGUGCGGUGCUCGGGCUGUGCUCUGUGCUCGGCCCCGUGUCCCAGCCCCCGCUCCCCUCGGCAGGGUCAGGAGAAGGGAAUUGGAGGCGGUGUCUUUGGCUGACACCAGCCCGCUGGGGAGGGAUGAGAGGAAGGGGGUCUUGGGGGCUGGGUUCAGAGCAAGGUUAGCCAAAUAUCGGAUAAAUUAAGCAAGAGAAACAGACAGCUCAGCUUGCAGUGAACUUUUCACCCAGCUAACCUGUUCCUCACCCUGCCUUGCACAGGUGGAGUGCGACUGGAGCGCAGCCCUUGCUCUCCCUGCUCCCUUCUGCUGGGGCAGGGCAUGGCCAAGGGGAGAGCAGGAAUUGUUUUGAGUCCAAGGAAUAUCACAGCUCUGAUUUCUGGUACAACAGCUCUGAUUGCUCAGGGGUUAGUCCGUGUUUGCUGCAGGGUGAAUGAGGACUGAUAAUUACUGGUCACAGAGGAUUAGGAAGAAAUUCCAUGCUGGAGAGGGCAAGGAGUAAAUGUGAGUGUCUAAACAGCGAUGAUUGGAGAUUCUUUGUGGGAAAACACAAGAGUGGUGGGAAUUCUCUGUUUAUUUCUCUGACUUUUCUUCUGCAUUUGCAGCACAAGUAAAUACAAAUAAUUGCUGACAGAUGUUGUAAAAACACAGCAUUAUGCUAACCAUUAAGGUUAAUUUUUUUAGGUUAAUAAUAGAUACUGAUAAGUCAACGUGGUGUGCUUGGCUCAAACUCACAUUACCUUGUUGAAAUGGGCUGUACUCCAGAUGCAUGUGUGGAACCAAGUGCUGGACUUCUUCUCUUGACCCUUCCCUAAAUCCCCACGGUCUCCACUCCCCAGAAAGCUCCAAACAAAUUAAAGUGCCUGGGUUUUAAGUAGUUUCUCCAUCACAAUCAGUGCAUAGUGGUGAGGCCUGAAGUUCUUGAUCUUCUUUCUCAGACCAUAUCUGUGGUUUGUGGUGUGACAGGUCUGUUGGAGAGCAAUACCUUGUAUUGCUUCAAUCUUGGCUUGAAAACCACUCUGUUGAAACUGCAACUCUAGAGUUAUCUAAUCUUCCUUUUCCCUUUUCUCUCAUCGUAGGUGAGGGAGGUCUGAGACCAAUAGCAGCUCUCUAAUGCCCAGUAUUUCCAGGAGCCAAAUCCUAAAUUUUUCUCUGUGUGUCUAAAUUACAUAAAAGUUCAAAAAGUAAAAAAAAUUAAAGAAUUUGUUGUAGAACCCUCUUAAGAAACUCCUAGUGGCAGUGCACUUCUGGGUGGUAGAUGCUGGGAGCUGUGUGUCUGAAAAGAGAAGAGCAACCUGGAGAUAAUCCCUGAUUCAGGAAGCUAAGAGCCUUCCUGGAGCAGUGAAUAAUUUCAGCUUUGCCUCCUGCUCUGCUGCACACACAGGGGUGGUUUCCACCCUCAUUUUGGAUCUGGGAAGUUAUUGGAGCUACCUAUAAACGUCUGUUCACACUCAGCUCCUCAGCCACUGCCAGGUUUAGGUGACUGGCUGCAAAGGAGCACUGGCAGCAUCCUGUGUUGUGCCCACAGGUGGGAAGCAAACAUGGAUUGGGUGAGGAAGGUGUUUUAUGUUGGCAGAAAAUGGCCAUGGUUCUGCAGUUUGGGAAAAGGGAGUGUGUGAUGUGGAAGGUGUGGAGAAAGUGAUAAGGACUGUGAUGUGGUUACUGUUGAGUUCCUGAGCCUGCUGAUGCUACUGGUUGUUGAUCAAAGAGUUUUUCUUCUCCUGCAGUUGUUGAAGAAGUUGUUUAAGAAGAUAAAAGGAGUUGGGACGUGCACAAGGCAGCGCCACCUCUGCUGCUCCUUCCCCUGCAAGGAUGGGAGCUCUUGGGUGGGUUUGGUGAACCCAGAGAGCAGAUUCUGUUCAAACUCACACUGUUGUUUGCCUGGUUUGGGCUCUGGUUUGGUUUUGUUCCCUCAGGACGGUUCUGGCUGGCCGAUUUUACAACCUGUAGCUUCAAAUACAGAUUCCACCCUUGGGGAGGGGACAGGGCAAGGACAAGGUCAGUGGUCAUCAGAUAAGUGAAGCUACUCCUUCUCCAGCAGUUCAGGCAGAUUCAUCAGAGCCCUAAGCAGCCUCAUAAUCUUGCCAAAGGCAAAUUUUCCUGUCAGAUCUGUCAGAGUGUAAAUUCUCCACAAAACUUGAUCCCUUUUCAGUGCUUUGCUGAAGUUUCCCAGACCUGUCUGGCCAAUCACUCUGUGGCUCCAAACCCCUGUCAUAGCAGGCUGGUGGCUUCUGCUGUAUUUUUUACUGCCCCUUGAGUGACAUCAUUUAAAUGAUGAGCCUCUGAGAUGAUUCAUACCAAAAAAAGAUCUAAUAAUUGUUACCAGUUAUUCAGAUCAGUGUUACUGAUUUCCCGCAUCCUCCCACUGGUCCCUUGAGCUCCCCCACCCACUCGUUUUUCCUAAUAUUUCCCAGGCUUUCUGGCUGUAGGCUCAGUAUGCCCUCUUCUGUGUUAAGGUGUAAGUGUCUGCUUCUCCCCAGAGGAGCAUUCAGGGCUUGUCUGCAGCAGCUUGAAUGAGCAGAUCCGAGCUGGAGAGGAAUGGGAGGUAGAGGGGCCACUGGCAGCUCCAGGGGAGUUCACACAGCAUUUGUGGCACAUCCCUGAUCCCUGUGCUGUGCUGGCAGCCUCUGGGGUGGCCAGCUCAAAGCUGGCUGAGUGCUGGAUCUGCAGGUUUGGGGUCACAGGACCCAGCUGGGAUCUCUGGAGCAGCUCCACACUCUGCCAAGGCUCCCCAGGAGCAGCCUCCAGUGCUGCCACUGCUGCUCCUGUUGGGGCUGGGGUUGUCUCUUCUCUCUCUCAAAGUUCCUCUCCUCAUGAGGCUCAUUUCUGCAGCACUGUGAGUUGAAAUCUGCAUUAUUUGUGUGGUCCAUACAAACAGCUGUCAUUGAGGGCAGUGGGUUUUUCAAGCAGCUCCUCAGCCUGGCCCCUUUUCCUCAUCAUGUUCUGUUCUUGGAUCCUGGUGCAUUUUUCCUUGAACUUUGAGUCCCUUCAACAUCUGUAUCCUCACUUUCUUACCUUCUUUGCUCAGUGUCUCUCUGGUGGGCAGGAGCACACAUGUUUUUGUCUGGAGUGAGGUGGAUCCAGAGCCCAGUGAUGGAAAAGGGGUUCUAGGUUCCCACAGUUAAAUAUUUAAGGAUGCACUGAUAUUAUGGCAGCUGAACCUCUAAAGUUGAUUUUGGAGCUAUUUUGGCUGUGUUUUUGUCCUGUGCAAGGCCUUAAAGAAACUGUGGAUGUACAGAUCUACAGAGCUGUCCUAAGCAAGGGAAACAGCUUCACCCAUGGUACUUAUUAGCCCCAGGGGUGGGUUUUUGGUCUGACUCUUGGUUAUUGGGAGGUGGGAGAGUCAUUAGUUUGAAAUUUGUGCUGUCCAAAAUUAUAUGGGAAGUAAAGAGCCCCUUCUGUUGUGGAGCUCAUUUGUUCACUCUUGCUGGGAGGGGCUGGGAUGGCAGGAACCCAAAAUUUAGAGUGUUCUCCCCAGUAUUUGAGGGAUGUACUUUACUUUGAAGACAGUGACAGGGACAGUGAAGGGAUAUUGUGGGAACAGGACACAGAGACAAGGUCUCAGUUAGUAGAGGACCUCUUUGGAUGGCUAAAAAUACUCAGUUCAUUUCCUAGACUCCAGUUUUUUAAAAGAAAAAAAAAAACUCUGAGGUUUUCCUGUAGAGGAGAUAUGAAGAUACUUUUUGAAGAUGUUUAGAAUAUUAAAGAAAGAUAUCUAUCAUGGAAUCACACAGGAUUCCUGGAUAUUCUAGUGAAUUCUUGGGUUAUAUUGGUGCAAACGAGGCCUGUGGCUUGUUGGUCCUGAUUCUGCAGCCUGUGAAGUUCAUUCCCCGGGGGGUUUUCUUCUGGAGAGAGAAGCCCUGUACCCUGUUCCCUUUUGGGGAGGAGUUGGCUGAGCAGAGUGAGCUCCCAGAGAGGAGCAGCAGAGACCUUUCCUCCCCUCAGGAGCGGAUUUACGGCAGUUCCACACGCCUGGCACUGCAGCCCCUCCUGGGGCAGCUGAGGGGAAGAAAAGCUCGGCCUAACCUUUGCCGUGUUAUUUAUUAUCACUUUGCAGCCCCCUGCAAAAUGAACUUUGGAAGCUCGUGGGCCGAUGGUGAGGGGAACACUGGGAAAAGGCCGGGAAUCAGCAAAUCCAUUGUGUUGCGCUGACAGAAAGAUACGGUUACAACACACUUCAGCUGCCAACUUGCUGCAGUCACUCAAUCCAUCACGGUGGGCUGCGGGAUCGCGAGCCAGUGAAACUCAGCCCGGCGUGUUAUUUUAGUCUUACAUGGACUGUGAGAUAAACGGGGCAUGAACCGGCCCCCAGGCAGGGGGUCGACCCCCGGCGCCCUCAUUAAAGUGCCAAUCAAAAAGAGUAAUGGAAGGGGGAAUGGAAAACCGGCUCCUCCGGCCUCGCACCGCGCUCGGGCCCGGCAACUCGGGCCAGCCAAGGGAAAUAUUUCUGUUCUGAACAGGAGCCAGGCCUCCAGAAACGCUCCCUGCUCGUCUCCGAGUUCCGAGGCUCCUCCUGUGGUGGGCACCUGUCCCCAUGUUGAUCUCCCUCUGGUGUGUGCUCAAAGGAGAAGGAAAAAGGUGUCUGUGGAGAAAAACUGCAUGCAGGCACAGGUUUUUUGCUACAUCAUUAUUUUGAUAGCCGGUGGUUUGUACGGCUGGAUGUCGGUCAUUUGCCAAAGGCCUUGGAGCAACAGUCCUUAGGAAUGGAAUCCUUGUCAGAUUCUGCCCUCUCCUGCACCCGAGGCAGGAGCAGGGCUGCUCACAGACCCAGCUGGGCUGAGUUUGCCUCACAUUGUCCCACUGCAGAAAAUCUGCUGCUGGAGAAACUGUGAAAACUCCAUGGUUGGGUCAAACUGCUCCCAGUCCUGGUAACAAAACCUUUUCUCAGCCAGGGAUGGUUCUGGCAGGGGAAGGCAGAUGGGUUUGUGCUGCCCUGAGCCCUCUGUCAAAGCUGUCAGACCAUUUGGGAGGCCACCAGCAGCUGUAAAAAAUGGGUUGCAAGAAAGUCAAACCUGUAAGACAAGGGGAGUUGGAAGUGCUUUGUCCCAGUCCUGCAUUUGAUAAAAUUAAGCACCAUAAUGUGGAGUUAAGAGUGUGCUGUCGAGCUGGAAUGCUGCACCAAUCCAGACUGGAGUCUGAAGCUCUUGGCAUAUUUUAUUAUUUUAUUUUUGUAAUAUUGUUUUAUUUUUUUACUUUAUUGUAUU